GCCCAGUGUGAGCUCUGGAAAAUAUUUGACCUGUUGCUGUCAAUGGGUUUUCGCCAGCCUCGGGGAGUUUCUUCUCAGACUUCUGCAAGUCAAAACUCAGCCAACCGCUGGAGAGGACCCAUCUGCCCAUCUCAGGAAUUCUCCAGUCUUCUGUUUCACACCUGAUGAAAAUUCCAGUUUCCAGAUGUUCAGGCCAAAUGCCCAGCCACAACUGUUGAUCAGUUUCUGGCAUCAUAUAACAUGCCUGUAGGAGAAACUGAAAAUCCAAUCAAAGAAUUGGAAAACAGGUUCUAAAUGUUCCCAGGAAUGGUCCAGACUACAAGAGCUGAGGACUCCACAGCAUCUGAGUGAAGAGCUAUCAGGGAGUGACAAGACACAGCAACUGUUCAACCUCAAGCAGAACCAGCUUGGGACAGGUUCCCCAACAUUGGGCCAUAGGAAAUGAUCCUGUGAUUAAACACCAUGUGCUCAGAAGACUGGAAACAUCCUCCCCACUCUGUCUGUGAGCAGUCAUGG
ensembl:lncRNA